rnacentral:rRNA from 1 species
UAGCAUAUCAAUAAGCGGAGGAAAAGAAACCAACAGGGAUUGCCCCAGUAACGGCGAGUGAAGCGGCAACAGCUCAAAUUUGAAAUCUGGCCCUCGGGUCCGAGUUGUAAUUUGUAGAGGAUGCUUUUGGCGAGGUGCCUUCCGAGUUCCCUGGAACGGGACGCCAUAGAGGGUGAGAGCCCCGUCUGGUCGGACACCGAGCCUCUGUAAAGCUCCUUCGACGAGUCGAGUAGUUUGGGAAUGCUGCUCAAAAUGGGAGGUAUAUGUCUUCUAAAGCUAAAUAUUGGCCAGAGACCGAUAGCGCACAAGUAGAGUGAUCGAAAGAUGAAAAGCACUUUGAAAAGAGGGUUAAAAAGUACGUGAAAUUGUUGAAAGGGAAGCGCCUAUGACCAGACUUGAGCCCGGUGAAUCAUCCAGCGUUCUCGCUGGUGCACUUUGCCGGGCCCAGGCCAGCAUCAGUUUGGCGCGGGGGAUAAAGGUGACGGGAAUGUGGCUCCCUCGGGAGUGUUAUAGCCCGCUACGUAAUACCCUGCGCCGGACUGAGGUACGCGCAUUGCAAGGAUGCUGGCGUAAUGGUCAUCAGCGACCCGUCUUGAAACACGGACCAAGGAGUCGUCUUCGUAUGCGAGUGUUCGGGUGUCAAACCCCUACGCGUAAUGAAAGUGAACGCAGGUGAGAGCUUCGGCGCAUCAUCGACCGAUCCUGAUGUUCUCGGAUGGAUUUGAGUAAGAGCAUACGGGGCCGGACCCGAAAGAAGGUGAACUAUGCCUGUAUAGGGUGAAGCCAGAGGAAACUCUGGUGGAGGCUCGCAGCGGUUCUGACGUGCGAAUCGAUCGUCAAAUAUGGGCAUGGGGGCGAAAGACUAAUCGAACCUUCUAGUAGCUGGUUUC